GACGAACGCUGGCGGCGUGCUUAACACAUGCAAGUCGAACGGGCCUUGUCCCCUUUUUUUUGGGGGUGGGGUUAGUGGCGCACGGGUGAGUAACACGUGAGUAACCUGCCCCUCACUUCUGGAUAACCGCUUGAAAGGGUGGCUAAUACGGGGUGUUCUGGCCUGCUCGCAUGGGUGGGUUUGGAAAGAUUCGACCGGUUUUGGUUGUUUUGGUGGGGGAUGGGCUCGCGGCCUAUCAGCUUGUUGGUGGGGUGAUGGCCUGCCAAGGCUUUGACGGGUAGCCGGCCUGAGAGGGUGGGCGGUCACACUGGGACUGAGACACGGCCCAGACUCCUACGGGAGGCAGCAGUGGGGAAUAUUGCACAAUGGGCGCAAGCCUGAUGCAGCGACGCCGCGUGAGGGAUGGAGGCCUUCGGGUUGUGAACCUCUUUCGCCAGUGAAGAAGGUCCUGCUCUUUGUGGUGGGGUUGACGGUAGCUGGGUUAAUGAAGCGCCGGCUAACUACGUG
rnacentral:rRNA from 1 species